rnacentral:lncRNA from 10 species
GCAGACACAAUCUGCGAGGGAACCUCGCUGGAGUCUUCUGAGCCCUGAAACCUGGUCCUCAGGGCUGGGACCCGGGCUCCACGCAUGUGGCUGGAGUGCAAUGGCGCGAUCUCGGCUCACCGCAACCUCCUCUUUCCGGGUUCAAGCGAUUCUCCUGCCUCAGCCUCCGGAGUAGCUGGCAUUACAGCCGGGAAGGAACCACUCCAGCCUCCCGUCCAAACAGAACCCUACAGGGCCCUACCUCGAUCAGAGGAAAAACGCACAGAAGCACACGCAUACGGUUUUCGAAAAAUGUCGGGAAGUUC